GUCUUCAGUAAAUGAAAUAACAAAAAGUUUAAAUUUUUUAAAUUGCGUUGAAAAUGUUUUUCUAAUCCUCUACGCUCUUCUAUAGUAAUAAGUUGAAAAAUUAUGCUAUAUAAAAUUGUUCUAGAGACAUUUUCCAUUCAUUACCCGCCUUAUUUCAUAUGUUGAUAUGAGGAUCAUCAGUUGCUCAAGAGGACUUUUUGUUUGCUUUCGAGGUCAAAUACGGCUUAGCGGCGUAAAUUUCUAGAAAAGAGGUAAACGAGCUGAAUGGAAAAUCGUAGACAAAGGAAGAAAGAAUCAUUAAAGACGAGUUAACGACGAGUUGCACGAGGCUUUUGUACUGCUCUUCGCAAAAACGCACUUUUCGAAUUAUGUGAAGUUUAACGUUCAUCUAUCAAAGAAAAAUUCUGAAUUGAAAUCGAAUUCGCUUGAAUGAAGCAAGAUUGUGCAACUAGCGAAAAAUUAUCUUUUGAAACAAAGACGAUCUGAGCUCAAAGCUGACAUUCUUCGUAUGGUUCUGCAGACGAUAUUUAAAGAAGAAAAUGUUUUUAA